rnacentral:misc_RNA from 1 species
UUUUCGUAGGUGAACCUGCGGAAGGAUCAUUACAGAGUUCAUGCCCUCACGGGUAGAUCUCCCACCCUUGAAUAUUUAUACCUUAGUUGCUUUGGCAGGCCGUGGAAACACCAUGGGCUCCGGCUUAUGCGUGCCUGCCAGAGGAAACAAACUCUGUUUUUAGUGAUGUCUGAGUACUAUAUAAUAGUUAAAACUUUCAACAACGGAUCUCUUGGUUCUG